rnacentral:lncRNA from 1 species
AAAAAGUUUCAUCAGUUCAUAGAGCGGGUAAGGAUUCCUGCCGCCAUGAAAAUUCAGAAAAAUCCGACGGCUCCGGGUAAUCAAACAACCCGCCGACUGUUAAAAAGUCGCCGUUGCUAUUACCUCCGUCAUUAUCUCCUUCCCUGAGGUCAUGCUCCAUGCCAAAAUCGAACGUGUCGUAAUUAGGCAUAUCGUCCUCAAAUCUCGCCAUGUUAACGAAUUCAGCUGCCUCAGGCAUGACGUCAGAUUCGGCAUUAACGUUGUGAUCGUUUACCGGAGAUAUUGUCGGAGGUAGACCGAGCUCAUCGUCGGAAGCUUCGAGAAGGUAACCGAGGUCCGUUUGAGAUUCGCCGGAUUCCGAUGGAUUCAGAUCGAGAACGGUCUGAGAAUCGUCGUGAAGAGGUGAGUGAUGAAGGAUUUCUUCCUCAAAACUCUUCAUGACGGAAUCCAGAUCCUGAAUCUCCGGCGGACAUUCGUUCAGAGCAUCAGGCUCAUCUAAGAUAUCCAAUAUAUCUUCUCUUAUCUGCUUAGCCUCCGGCGAAUCCAGGUACACAUCUUUUCGCACGUCAUCGGAAUCCGAUGAGUUGACUCGGUUCAACUCAGACGAGUCGGGAGCGGUCUUCUCUAGCUCUGAUGAGUUAACUCGCUUGGGCUCAGGCGAGUCAUCAAAUGCGUCCAAUCCUGACUCAACUCGGGUCCGCUUAUUACUGUUAUUAUUAUUCUCAGUUUUCAACUCUUUUUUCAUGUUGAGACAAAAGCCUUAACAACUGAUGUGAAGAGAUUUCUCAAAAUUAUAAAAUCCAAGAAUAGGACAAUAGGUGGGGGCUAGUGGGGUAACUACUCUAGGCACAAAGUCUAGAAAGAUAAAAUGAGCUUUGGAAAAAAAAAGAGGGAAGGGCAAAAGAGAGAUAUUAGCUUUUGGUAGUUGUAAGUCCUUGUUUGGUUAUAGGAAAGAAGAAAGAGAGAGAAGAGGGAAAAAUAUUUUGAAGCAAUGAAGGAGAUAAGGAAGGGGAAGAUAGUUUAUAUAGUGGGAGAGAAAAGGAGGGGGACCAAAGGGUGAGAGGGAUAAGAUUUGGUUGUGUGUGUGAGAGAAGGAAGAGAGAGAAGGGGAGAAACGAGACAAAAGAUGCUGUUUUCAGGUUGAGAUGCAAAGGUGGAGAGAAGUGGAGCUGGCAAUUAUAGUAGUCCCAUCUUAAGUAUUCGUUUGGCCAUAAAACAAAUGUUUAUUUUCUAGGGAUUAUUUUUCUUUUUUAAAUUAAAAAAUUAGUGUUUGGCUUUUAUUUAAGUACACAUAUGUCCAUAUUGAUAGGGUUUACAACACACAGUAUUUUACCAAAGAGCAACAUAUUCAAUAUAUUUAUUUUCAUAAUAAAACCAAAUAUGAAGGAUAAAGUGCAUAAAAUUUAUAUUUCUACGUUAACAGAUACAUAGAGUAGAGAGAUUGUUUUCAAUAAAUUUUUGGCUAAAACUAAAGUAAUUGGUUAGAAAAAAAUUAAUAUAAAAAUAAGAGAUAAUAAAAAAUAACACAAUAAAUACUGACAGAAAAAAGAUUACCACAAAGUAGUGUUAUAAUUAAUUUAUCUGAAACAACAACAUUAUCAAAACUUCAAAACUAAAGACACUACGGAAUCAUUUGAUGGAUAUACAGAAUAAAUAAUUUCAAAAUAAAAUGAAAAAUUAUUUUAUUUCAUAUUUGAUGUGAGGUAUUAAUUAGUAUCGAAAUUCCAUAAAAGUCAUCCUCAUCUUUUCCUAAUAACUUCAUUAAUUUACCUCUUUUAUCCCUAUCAGCACAUUCAUCGUCGCCGUUUUCAAUUUUACUACUUUUGUCCUCUGGGAUACAAGGAACUUUAUAGCACCGCGCUGCAUUUUAUACUGUACGGCUACUCUAUUACAUCAUCAUUAAUUUUUUAUUACUUUCUCCGUUUCAUUUGGUGUGAUCAUUUUUUUUAAUUCAUUUUAAAAAACAUAUCAUACUUUUUUAUUUAAUAAAUAUUUAAAAACAUAAUUACAUCUUUAUCUUUAUUAAACCCACUUAAUUAAAAAUAAAUAGCGACACAUUUUUAAUAAAAGACAACCUGAUAAAUAUUUUUUAUUUUUUUAAUUUUGUGCCCGAUCAAAUAACACAUAAAAUGAGAGGGAGAGGGAGUACUAAAUACUACCCUUCUCUACUAGUAUAUGACUUGUGAAUCACAUAAAUUAUGUAUAUUUCUUUUGUAAAAUAGAAAAAUAUCACACAAACGUAAGAGCAACGAAUCAAUAGGAGUACAAAGGAGAAAAUCGUCUUUCUUUGUUUUCCUCGCAUUAAAAACAGAAUUUAUACUGAUAAUAUAUUCAAUACUGUAUAAUAGCGCAUGGCAGAAAACAGAAAUACAAUUUGUUUGUUCUAGCAACUUUCUUUGCUUCAAUAAUUAAAUGGGCUAAAAUUAAGCUAAUUGUGUGUGAGUAAUUCUACUGUAUUUUUGGCACUUGGCUGGGUAGACAGUUCAAAUGAGCAAAUUAUAUAAGGAUGAUGUAAAAUUUCCAAAUUCUACCAUCUGAAAACACUUGAUUCUAAAGUAUUGAAUUUCAAAUUUAGCUUUCCUAUUUUUAUGCUGUGCUGCUUUCUGGUUUUCAGAUGUACAAACUAACGCUACCAUUCACAUAACCAAAAAAGUUUCAUCAGUUCAUAGAGCGGGUAAGGAUUCCUGCCGCCAUGAAAAUUCAGAAAAAUCCGACGGCUCCGGGUAAUCAAACAACCCGCCGACUGUUAAAAAGUCGCCGUUGCUAUUACCUCCGUCAUUAUCUCCUUCCCUGAGGUCAUGCUCCAUGCCAAAAUCGAACGUGUCGUAAUUAGGCAUAUCGUCCUCAAAUCUCGCCAUGUUAACGAAUUCAGCUGCCUCAGGCAUGACGUCAGAUUCGGCAUUAACGUUGUGAUCGUUUACCGGAGAUAUUGUCGGAGGUAGACCGAGCUCAUCGUCGGAAGCUUCGAGAAGGUAACCGAGGUCCGUUUGAGAUUCGCCGGAUUCCGAUGGAUUCAGAUCGAGAACGGUCUGAGAAUCGUCGUGAAGAGGUGAGUGAUGAAGGAUUUCUUCCUCAAAACUCUUCAUGACGGAAUCCAGAUCCUGAAUCUCCGGCGGACAUUCGUUCAGAGCAUCAGGCUCAUCUAAGAUAUCCAAUAUAUCUUCUCUUAUCUGCUUAGCCUCCGGCGAAUCCAGGUACACAUCUUUUCGCACGUCAUCGGAAUCCGAUGAGUUGACUCGGUUCAACUCAGACGAGUCGGGAGCGGUCUUCUCUAGCUCUGAUGAGUUAACUCGCUUGGGCUCAGGCGAGUCAUCAAAUGCGUCCAAUCCUGACUCAAUUCGGGUCCGCUUAUUACUGUUAUUAUUUUUCUCAG